UUUUUGAUUUCUCAUCAAAUACACAUUCAAUCGUAACUCAAAUCAUGAAGAAUAAACAUUUUCAAUGUGCUUUUCUGUCAUUCUUCGUUUGGUCGUUGAAGGGUUCGGACGUGUUUUUCGAAGCUCUCGACGUCGUGACCUCAUUAUAAUUUGAACUGCGCGGGUAAAGAACGCUCAGUUGCGACUUGGAUAUUGACCAAUACGGACGUGUUUUUAAAGCGCUCUGAAAAAAGUUUUGACUUUUUAUUUUUUUUUACUAUGACAGAAUCUUAGUUGACUGAUGGUCUUUGACAAAGACAGACUUGUUUUUGUGAGCUCUGAAAAAAAUUUGACUUUGAAAUAUUUUUACGAUUAAAAAGUUUCAGUUGACUUUUGAACGUUAACGAAGACGGACGUACUUUCGUGAGCUCUGACUAUUGAUGAAAAGUUUUGAGUUUUACUGACUUGUACUUUGAGAGUAAAAUUGACUUCGCGUUAUAGAAUAGCGACUUGGUACUCAGGUUGUUGAAUGACUGGAUGACUGUAGUGUUAGGUUAUUGUUAUGAGAUAACAACUUGACUUUGACUUGAGUUGUGAAAUAAAAUCAUACUCUUGAACGUUUAGUAUGGACUGACAACGAACUUUUGUGAGCGUUAUAUAUGAAAUGUUUGACUUACAUUAAUUUUUUUGAACGACUUGACUUCAAUUUAAGUUUUGACAUCGGACUGAUCGGACGUGUUUUUUUAAGCCCUGACUGUUGUGAAUAAUUAAAUUUAUGUUGUGGUGUCAAGCGAUUGACUGUCAGUUGAGGUUCAGAUGUCGAGCUGUGCGGACGUGUUCAUCGAGCUGCUGUCUACAAAAAACUGUGCUGUGGUGAGUACUGUAGAUAUUACUUGAUUUUUAGUGUCUAUGAAUGCUGAUGUAUGAUAGCUAUAGCAUGAGCUCAAUGCUAACCAGUAUUAUGAGUUGAUGUAUUGUGGUGAUGCUAAUCGAACUGAUGAUGUAACAUGAUGGUGAACACUUACUGAAUGCAUAAAAUUUAUUGAAUUGCGUUUGUUGAUAUGCACUAUAAUAUGAUAAAUGUAUUGCUUAACAUGUAUAUUUCAUGAUGUUUAAUUUCAGUGGGCUGUGGUGAGUACUGUAGAUUGUAUUGCCUAUGUAUAGAAUUCAAUAAAAGAUUAUGACUGAAAACUGCUUUUGAUUCUUUUUGAACAGUUUUAGGGACUAUAAGUCUAUAACAAAAAUAUGUCGGUUGGCGUUCAUACAGCAAUGUUUUGAGUAGUACAGAAAUGUUUCUACGUUUGUGGUCGCCAGUUGUCUGUGAUGUGUAAAGUGAAAAAUACACGGAGCUUUGAAUACAACAAACAUUUACUGUUUUAACACAGAUUGUGUGCUAUGCAUUUUUCGAUGUAGAUCUUUUUCAGAUUUGACAUGAAAUGUAGACCUGACAUUUGAACAGAGCUGGGAAACGAAAAGGUAAGUUUGUUAAAUUUCACAAUGAACACUUGUGUUUUGACAAAAGAAGAGAUAAAGUGAGUUUUGUCAUCAUCAUGGUUUCUUUCAGAGUAUAACUCGUGAACAGAUGAAAACCUAUUUUUGCUAGAUUUUCAUGUACUCUUUUUUUGGAUGAUAAGUAUGUCAGUAACUCAAAAUCAUACGGCUAGUACAGUAUGGAACAUGAAUGCUUUGUUCAGAUUUUCAGAUGUGUGCUGGCAGUUUAAGUCUGGCAGCUGAAGUGAACAGUCGUGUUUUCUGGAGCUCCAACAAUAUGCUAGAAGGUAAGUAACUAUGUUUGUUUUGCAUUGCAUGUUUUUAUAUGUUUCAGACUUUCAAGCAGAGAUGUCAUGCUGACUGGAGUUGAGCACAGGGCAGUGACAAAGUGAAAGGUAAGUACUUUUGACUGAAUGUUUGUUCUAUGCAUGUUUUGUUUCAAUACAUUUCAGGAGUGCUUAUCCAGUGAUGAUAUGACAGUUGGAGUGAACAGUGGAGCCAAGCAGUCUUGUUUUUGGAGCUACUCAACAAGCCUUGAAGGUAAGUUUAGAAUUUCUCAAUGUUAGUGAAUUGAAGUACUGUCACUUGCUUUUGGACAGUCGAACAGAACAGACGUGGUUGCGAGAGCUCUCAUAUCUGUUGUGUUAAACUGUUUUUAUGAUAUGUUAUGUUUGUUUGUUUGUUUGUGAUGUACUAUUUUUCAGAUGCUGAUGGCAGUGAUGGGUUUUCAAGCUGACCUGAACAGAAAAGCACUCAUAUGGUAAGUACAAAAUAGUUGUUAUAUGGGAUGUUUUGUGCAUGCUUUUAUGUUUCAGGUGUACUUGCUGACAGCGACGAAGACGAAUCAAGAAGAGGAACAUUGUUGAGAAAGUGAUUGGGACUUGAAAACAGGGUAAGUGUAACACUUGUGUUUGUUUAAUUUGUAACAUGCGUGCUUUGCUCUGUUUCAGAUUUCACAUGCAGAAAUUAAACAGGAUUUCAACUGCUGAGACACAAAUCAUCAAAAGUAAGGUAAGUUUUAAUCCAUUGAUUUGAGUUGUACAAUGUGUUCUUUACUUUAUUUCAGAUUCGAGUCACUGGUUUACACAUGGAAGAAGAUUUCCACGUCUGUUACUCAACUCUACAGAAGCAAGGUAAGUCGAUCAAAUUUUUGUUUUCAUUUGUACUGCUGUAAUGUGAUGGUAAACUUAUGCUAUUUUUCAUGUGUGUCAUGUACAGAUGGAUAAUUCAAGUUUGAUCUGUGUUGGUUUAUGUUCAAAAACGUUUUACAUGUAUGUGUGUUUGAAGAUGUUUUGUUUCAGUGGAUGUCCAGAUGGCAAGCAGUACAGACGUGUUUCUUGGAGCUGCCAAACAGUGAGUACAAACGUUUUAUAUUUUUCAGUUGUUUACUCAUAGAAGUCUGUGAAAGAUGAUAACAAGGGUUGAAUCUAUCAGUACUUGUGUCUAAAAAUGCUGAUGUGUGACGGUUUACUGAAAAGGGUAAAUGCUAGCCAGUACUAACACUUGAGCAACCGUGGGAUGUCGAACUAACUGAUGAUGCACUAUGAUGGUGAACACUUACUAUGUGUAUCGAAAUGCUUUUGUUGAUAUUUAUUAUAGAUGAUUUGAUAUUGGUUAACAUUUGUUUGCAUGCUGUUAACAUUUCUAUUUCAUUUCAGGGAGCUGUGGUGAGUAUUGUAGUAUACAUUUGUUUCAAUAAUGUUUGAGUAGUACAAAAAUGUCUUUACUUUUGUGAUCGCCAGUUGUCUGUGAUAUGUAACGUAAACAAAAAACACAGCUAUAAAGCAUACAAUUGUUUCGAAAUUUUAUCAAUGAUUGUAUACUAUGCAUGUUUUGAUUUAGUUCGUUUCAGAUAUGACAUGACAUGAAGAGUUGACAGUCGAACAGAGCUGAGCAAUGCAGAAAGGUAAGUGUGUUUCAUUUUUAGUAUGAACACUUGUAUUUUGUUUUUAUAUGGUAUGUUUUGUGCAUGCUAUGUUUCAGGUGUACUUGUAGUCAGCGACGAAGACGAUUCAAGAAGAGGAACAUUGCUGAGAAAGUGAAUGGGACAUGCAAACAGGGUAAGUGUUACAAUUGUUGGUUUGAUUUUUACCAUGCAUACUUUGCUUUACUCUGUUUCAGAUUUCACAUGCAGAAAUGGUCUCAUAGCAGUGCCAACAGUGAAUAAGGAUUUCAUCUGCUGUGAAACAACUCAACAGAAAGUAGGUAAGCAUUGAAUGAAUGCACUUGAGCUGUACAAUUUGAUGUGAUGCUUUUCUCUGUUUCAGAUUCAAGUUCCUGGUGUAGACAGAGAAAUGUGUUUGAAGAAGGAAUUCUACUACUGUGAUUCAACUCUACAGAAGCAAGGUAAGUAGAAACAAAAUUUUGGUUUAAUUUAACUCAUGUGUUUUGCACUGCAUGCUAUUUUUCAGGUCUCUCGUGCAGUGAUGGAAAAGAAGAAGAUUUCAAGAAAGAAUCACUGCUGCAACUCAGGCCUAUAACAAGACUUACAUUGCUGUGACUGUUCGACAGUGGGUCAAAAAAGAGACGAAUACAGGUUUCAAGAAGAAAAUUGGCUGUUAAAACUCUGCACAAAAUAUGAGGUAAGUAAACAACUCUUUUGGUUUGUUUUGUGCCUUGUUAUGCUUAACUAUUUUUCAGAUUGAAAUGGUGGGUCGUUACAGAGCAGACUUUUGGACUACUGAGAAGUUGAGAAACAGAGAAUGAUUCAAGAUCAGCUAGGUAAGUCUUGAUUAUUGUGCAUUGCUAAAUGUUUUUUUUCAUUCCAGUAUGGCUGUGGUAAGUACACAAACUUUCUAUAAUUUAAUAUUGAACUGUUUUUAUGACCUGUAUUCUGCAUUGUAAAAUGUCUGUUUUUCAUUUCAGUAUCCUGUGGUAAGUACACUAACUUUCUUUAAUUUUCAUAUUGAACUGUUUUGAUGACUUGUAUACUACUAUGCAAUGCCUAAUGUUUUUUUCAUUUCAGUAGCCUGUUGGUAAGUACACUAACUUUCUAUAAUUUCAUAGUGAACUGUUUUGAUGACUUGUAUUCUGCUAUACAAAAUGUGUUUUUUUCAUUUCAGUUGCCUGUGGUAAGUACACUAACUUUCUAUCAUUUCAUAUUGAACUGUUUUGAUGACUUUUAUACUACUAUGCAAUGCUUAAUGUUUUUUUUUCAUUUCAGUAGCCUGUUGGUAAGUACACUAACUUUCUUUAACUUUCAUAUUGAACUGUUUUGAUGACUUGUAUUCUGCUAUACAAAAUGUGUUUUUUUCAUUUCAGUUGCCUGUGGUAAGUACACUAACUUUCUAUCAUUUCAUAUUGAACUGUUUUGAUGACCUGUAUUUUGCAUUGUAAAAUGUGUUUCUUUUUCAUUUCAGUAUGGCUGUGGUAAGUACACUAACUUUCUUUAAUUUUCAUAUUGAACUGUUUUGAUGACUUGUAUUCUGCUAAACAAAAUGUGCUUUUUUCAA